GGUCCUGUGAGGUAGUGGUUAUCCUUCCGGAUUUUGACGCCAAGUCAAGUCUUCCGGCUACGCCAGUUCGAAUCCGGCCAGGACCU